rnacentral:rRNA from 1 species
GACGAACGCUGGCGGCGUGCCUAAUACAUGCAAGUAGAACGCUGAAGAGAGGAGCUUGCUCUUCUUGGAUGAGUUGCGAACGGGUGAGUAACGCGUAGGUAACCUGCCUUGUAGCGGGGGAUAACUAUUGGAAACGAUAGCUAAUACCGCAUAACAAUGGGUGACUCAUGUCAUUUAUUUGAAAGGGGCAAAUGCUCCACUACAAGAUGGACCUGCGUUGUAUUAGCUAGUAGGUGAGGUAACGGCUCACCUAGGCGACGAUACAUAGCCGACCUGAGAGGGUGAUCGGCCACACUGGGACUGAGACACGGCCCAGACUCCUACGGGAGGCAGCAGUAGGGAAUCUUCGGCAAUGGGGGCAACCCUGACCGAGCAACGCCGCGUGAGUGAAGAAGGUUUUCGGAUCGUAAAGCUCUGUUGUAAGUCAAGAACGAGUGUGAGAGUGGAAAGUUCACACUGUGACGGUAGCU